GACGAACCGUGCGAACGUUAUUCGGAAUCACUGGGCUUAAAGCGCGUGUAGGCGGGCCGCCGCGUCGGCUGCUGAAAUCCCCCGGCUCAACCGGGGAACGGGCACCGAUACGGGCGGCCUCGAGGGGGGUAGGGGGGCCUGGAACUUCCGGUGGAGCGGUGAAAUGCGUUGAGAUCGGAAGGAACACCGAUGGCGAAAGCAGCGCGCUGGACCUUUACUGACGCUGAGGCGCGAAAGCCAGGGGAGCAAACGGG
rnacentral:rRNA from 1 species